AUUGAACGCUGGCGGCAGGCCUAACACAUGCAAGUCGAGCGGAUGAAGGGAGCUUGCUCCUGGAUUCAGCGGCGGACGGGUGAGUAAUGCCUAGGAAUCUGCCUGGUAGUGGGGGAUAACGUCCGGAAACGGGCGCUAAUACCGCAUACGUCCUGAGGGAGAAAGUGGGGGAUCUUCGGACCUCACGCUAUCAGAUGAGCCUAGGUCGGAUUAGCUAGUUGGUGGGGUAAAGGCCUACCAAGGCGACGAUCCGUAACUGGUCUGAGAGGAUGAUCAGUCACACGGGAACUGAGACACGGUACAGACUCCUACGGGAGGAAGCAGUGGGGAAUAUUAGACAAUGGACGAGAGCCUGAUCCAGCCAUGCCGCGUGUGUGAAGAAGGUCUUCGGAUUGUAGAGCACUUUAAGUUGGGAGGAAGGAAAGUAAGUUAAUACCUUGCUGUUUUGACGUUACCAACAGAAUAAGCACCGGCUAACUUCGUG
rnacentral:rRNA from 1 species